AUUGAACGCUGGCGGCAGGCUUAACACAUGCAAGUCGAGCGGGGAAGGUUGCUUCGGUAACUGACCUAGCGGCGGACGGGUGAGUAAUGCUUAGGAAUCUGCCUAUUAGUGGGGGACAACGUUCCGAAAGGAACGCUAAUACCGCAUACGCCCUACGGGGGAAAGCAGGGGAUCUUCGGACCUUGCGCUAAUAGAUGAGCCUAAGUCGGAUUAGCUAGUUGGUGGGGUAAAGGCCUACCAAGGCGACGAUCUGUAGCGGGUCUGAGAGGAUGAUCCGCCUCACUGGGACUGAGACACGGCCCAGACUCCUACGGGAGGCAGCAGUGGGGAAUAUUGGACAAUGGGUGGAAGCCUGAUCCAGCCAUGCCGCGUGUGUGAAGAAGGCCUUUUGGUUGUAAAGCACUUUAAGCGAGGAGGAGGCUCCUUUAGUUAAUACCUAAAGAGAGUGGACGUUACUCGCAGAAUAAGCACCGGCUAACUCUGUGCCAGCCGCCGCCGCUGUAA
rnacentral:rRNA from 1 species